rnacentral:rRNA from 1 species
GACGAACGCUGGCGGCGUGCCUAAUACAUGCAAGUCGAGCGAAUCUUUGGGAGCUUGCUCCUAAAGGUUAGCGGCGGACGGGUGAGUAACACGUGGGCAACCUGCCUAUAAGACUGGGAUAACUUCGGGAAACCGGAGCUAAUACCGGAUAAUUCUUUUCCUCUCAUGAGGAAAAGCUGAAAGACGGUUUACGCUGUCACUUAUAGAUGGGCCCGCGGCGCAUUAGCUAGUUGGUGAGGUAACGGCUCACCAAGGCAACGAUGCGUAGCCGACCUGAGAGGGUGAUCGGCCACACUGGGACUGAGACACGGCCCAGACUCCUACGGGAGGCAG